rnacentral:rRNA from 1 species
AUUGAACGCUAGCGGGAUGCUUUACACAUGCAAGUCGAACGGCAGCGCGGACUUCGGUCUGGCGGCGAGUGGCGAACGGGUGAGUAAUGUAUCGGAACGUGCCCAGUAGCGGGGGAUAACUACGCGAAAGCGUAGCUAAUACCGCAUACGCCCUACGGGGGAAAGCAGGGGAUCGUAAGACCUUGCACUAUUGGAGCGGCCGAUAUCGGAUUAGCUAGUUGGUGAGGUAACGGCUCACCAAGGCGACGAUCCGUAGCUGGUUUGAGAGGACGACCAGCCACACUGGGACUGAGAAACGGCCCAGACUCCUACGGGAGGCAGCAGUGGGGAAUUUUGGACAAUGGGGGCAACCCUGAUCAAGCCAUCCCGCGUGUGCGAUGAAGGCCUGCGGGUUGUAAAGCACUUUUGGCAGGAAAGAAACGUCGCGGGCUAAUACCCCGUGGAACUGACGGUACCUGCAGAAUAAGCACCGGCUAACUACGUG